rnacentral:lncRNA from 1 species
AUCGGGUCUUUCGUCCUGCCUCCUGCGAUGAGGAAACCCGCCCGGCUCUCUCUUCCGCAGCAAAAAAAAAGGAAAGCACCCGCUAUCUCCUCCACGAAUCCUCCUCGGCGCCGCCUCGACGAAUCCUCCUCCACGCAGAGCGCCCACCUCCUCCUCGACGAAUCCUCCUCGGCGCCCCCUCGACGAAUCCUCCUCCACGCAGAGCGCCCGCCUCCUCCUCGACGAAUCGGCGACCGCCUCCUCGGCGCCCCGCUCCCAGAUUUCGGUGCCCGCGCGAACUCCGGUGCGCAUAUUUCGGUGGCCGCGUCCCGCUGUCCGCGCAGCGACCCGCCG